rnacentral:rRNA from 1 species
CCUACGGGGGGCAGCAGUGAGGAAUAUUGGUCAAUGGACGAGAGUCUGAACCAGCCAAGUAGCGUGAAGGAUGACUGCCCUAUGGGUUGUAAACUUCUUUUAUAUGGGAAUAAAACGUUCCACGUGUGGGAUUUUGUAUGUACCAUAUGAAUAAGGAUCGGCUAACUCCGUGCCAGCAGCCGCGGUAAUACGGAGGAUCCGAGCGUUAUCCGGAUUUAUUGGGUUUAAGGGGAGCGUAGGUGGAUUGUUAAGUCAGUUGUGAAAGUUUGCGGCUCAACCGUAAAAUUGCAGUUGAAACUGGCAGUCUUGAGUACAGGAUAGGUGGGCGGAAUUCGUGGUGUAGCGGUGAAAUGCUUAGAUAUCACGAAGAACUCCGAUUGCGAAGGCAGUUCACUGGACUGCAACUGACACUGAGGCUCGAAAGUGUGGGUAUCAAACAGGAUUAGAUACCCCUGUAGUC